AUGUCCAUGGAGAUUGGAAGCAACCACCACCACCACCACCAGGGGGACGAGACUGGCGAUCUAAUGAAGCCGGACUCAGAAUACCCGCCGGGGCUGCUGCGAGGAGGAGCACCUGCCACGAACCGGCGGCAGUUCCAGAAGGCCAUUCCGGCGCCCGUUAUGUCAUUCAGGCAGCCCACCGCCGACACGCCGAUGCCCCAUCAUCAGGCGCAGCUCCGGUUCCACGGCCGCCACGGCGGAUCCAGGCCGCCGUUCAAUUCGCCUGGGAGCAACCCUAGUGCCGCCGAUGGCGUCGCGUCCAGAAAUCAGCAGCGUUCCACCGCCAUCGGUGCCGCCGUGUCCAGGUCCGCGGUUGGCGUCUACGCACCAACCCGGAGCAUACGGAAUCCAAAGUCAACACUAAUGACUAUGUUCUACGACGGCGCCGUCAACGUGUUCGACGUCCCGGUGGACAAGGCCCAGGAGAUUAUGGUUUUAGCAGGCAGGGCUUCUGUUUCAAGCCCACCCAGUGCAGUCCAGAAGCCUGAUUUUCCUGCCCCGGCCAAUACAUCAGGAUUUCCGGUGCCCGGGGCGAGGAAGAUUAUAAUUCAGAAACCAGGAGAGACCAUGGCACCUCAUGUAUCAGUCAUUUCAAGUCCGAUCCCCGUCGUGUCACAAUCUCCGACGAUCUCCAAGAGCACGCCAGGCUACCAAAAUUGCACUCCAGCUCCGACGACAUACUCAGGCAUACCAUCAUUAGUUGUUCCGCCGCUAAGUAAUGCACCCUCAGCUCAACGGAUGCAACAAGCAUCUACUGCUGUUGCAGCAGCUAUUAAGCCAAUUGCUGUCCAUCAAUCUCGGAAAGCAUCUCUAGCCCGAUUCUUGGAGAAGCGGAAAGACAGAGUUUCAAGUGUCACGCCAUACUCAUUGCCAAAGAGCCCGCUAGCGAGCACCGGUACCUUGGGCAGUGCGAGCACUGCAAGCAAGUUAUCUCGUGCAGACAUUGCUCCAUCCGGCAACAAUUGCCACGAGUCUAUGAGCAUGGACAUGUACAAUGAUGAUAGCUUAGCAAUGUCCCGUAGGGUGGUUAUUGAGUUGGAAUAA
rnacentral:rRNA from 1 species